CUGUUUCUGACACCACUAACCCACCCCAAUUACUUCUCUUUCUCCCCGGGUCUUCUAAUCCCCAAAACCCCAAAACUGAAAAACUCCAAACCCCAAUUGAGGAAACCCGAAAACCCCAGACCCGUAAAACUCUCUCGCUCACCUUCGCCUGCGCGUCGCCGGCUAUUCUUCCAGGCUCGUCGAAAUUUCCCCCUUGUCGGCGCCGUCUCACUGUUCUCCUCCUCUCAUAUGUGCUCCUCGAGUCUCUCUCCUCUCGCUGGUUGUUGUUGCUGUUGUGUUGUGGCGGUGUUGCCGUGGAUCUGAUUUCGCCACCGCGAGUCUAGCUCGCCGGACCUGUUGACUAAUACCACUCGCCGGUGUUGUUGUCGUUGAUAUGUCACCUCGCCGGAGCUUCAAACUCCUCUGCCGUGCGUGUCGUCCCUGCUCCAAAUGAGCAGAGGUUUGGUGUUGUGAGCUCAGAAUUUGAAGUGGAGCAAGAUAAAGAUGUUGUCAUAGAUUAAGGAUUGAGUUUGUAUCUAGAUAAAUGAUUUGAGAAUAGAUAAUUAUAUUUCAUUGUAUAUAAUAUUUGGGAAUUUAGUCGAGAUAUUGAUGUAUUUAAGGUUGUUUUUCCACUGCGAGUUAAUUUAUUUAAGAGUUAAUUAUUGUUUA